rnacentral:rRNA from 1 species
AUUGAACGCUGGCGGCAGGCCUAACACAUGCAAGUCGAACGAGUGGCGGACGGGUGAGUAAUGUCUGGGAAACUGCCCGAUGGAGGGGGAUAACUACUGGAAACGGUAGCUAAUACCGCAUACCAUCGGAUGUGCCCAGAUGGGAUUAGCUUGUAGGUGAGGUAACGGCUCACCUAGGCGACGAUCCCUCGCUGGUCUGAGAGGAGGACCAGGCAAACUGGAACUGAGACACGGUGCAGACUCCUAAGGGAGGUACAAGUGGGGAAUAUUGCACAAUGGGCGCAAGUGUGAUGCAUCCAGGGCGCGUGUAUGAAGAAGGCCUGCGGGUUGUAAAGUACUUGCAGCGGGGAGGCGUUACCAGCAGAAGAAGCACCGGCUAACUCCGUGCCAGCAGCCGCGGUAAUAC